rnacentral:rRNA from 1 species
GACGAACGCUGGCGGCGUGCCUAAUACAUGCAAGUCGAACGCAGUUGCGAACGGGUGAGUAACGCGUAGGUAACUGCCUCAUAGCGGGGGAUAACUCUUGGAAACGAUAGCUAAUACCGCAUACUGUGAGAUGGACCUGCUUUGUGUUAGCUAGUUGGGGAGGGAAAGGCUCACCAAGGCGACGAUACUUUGCCGAGCUGAGAGGGUGGUGCGCCAACGUGGGGACGAGACAAGGCCCCAGCUCCUUCGGGAGGGAACAGUAGGGAAUCUUCGGAAAUGGAGGGAAGUCUGACCGAGCAAAGGCGGGUGGGUGGAGGAGGUUUUCGGGUCGUAAAGCUAUGUUGUUAGGGAAGCGGUAACUAAACAGAAAGGGACGGCUAACUACGUGCCAGCAGCCGCGGUAAUAC